GGGAGGGAGGGUCUGCUGGAGAUUGGCCGGGAUGUUUCAGCUGCCCGGAGCUCGCCACGAACGGUUCGUGGCGAGCCGUUCGCGGGAAGUUCGCGAAUGGUUCGCGACAUCUCUAUAACACAUAUACACAGUACCCAACACAUCUCUUUAUUGGUACCUUACAGAAAUUAACAUAAUAUGUCCUUAUGGAACAUAAUAGGUUAAGAACACACCUGAUACAAUGCCACCUGUCUGGUUAAUGAUUACUGACUUAGCAUCGAUGGCAGAAGAAAAGUCUGCAUUUUUUUUUCGAUUGUGAUUGCUUUCAACACUGUUUGUUCGAUACUGUCUGAAAGUCACAAAACAUUACUGAUCAGUGACCGACGUUCGAUUGGAAUUUACUCCUACGUUAAAGCAGACAGGCCAAAAUGUUAAUCUCGGAUUUGUUGUUGCGUUGCAAUAGAGAUCAUAUUUAAAUAUCUGUUAAAAAUAUAUAUUUUUGCAACACAGAGGGAUUUGUUUGGAACAACAUUUUGUAAAAAAAAUAUUUAAAAUCACUAAUGACAGAAUGCAAAUUAUUGAAAAAGAGAAAUGUUUGCUCACAUAUAUUGUUAUAAAGCAAGCUACAACUUAAACAACAGAGCUGAGCAUCACAUUCCUUUUGGAUGUCUGAUUUAAAUUUUUGCCAAUACAAUUCUUUAUCCUGCAAUUCCAUAAAUAGCCACAAGGGAUAUCUGGGUGAGCUUCAGUAUAUCUAACCACACUGGAUCAUUCCUUGUGAUAUUCAAUUAGUCUUUUUAUUUGAACUGUUCUAAACUGCAUAAUAGAUCUUAUGGGCCAAAACCCAUUGAGUUUAUCUGGAUACUCUGAAGAGGAGAAAUGUGUUUUAAACUAAUGUAUUGGUGGUUCAUUAUAUGUACUUGCCUCUACAGUUGAUAUAAUCAGAACUGACAGUAGACACAUUUUUAAUAAAUAGCUGAAUAAAAUAACAUUUUCCAAAAAAUAAUUAAAAA